rnacentral:lncRNA from 1 species
AAUUCCCUUCAGCUCAACUAUGAAAUAAGUAUGAGGUGAAGAUAAAGACAUUUUUAGAUGUGUGAGUACUCAAAUGUUUGCCUCCACAUAUUCUUUCUAAGGAGAUUACUGAAGGACAUGCUUUAGUAAAAUGAGGAAGCAAAUCAUCAAUCAAUAAGAUAUGAUAUCCAAAAAGUGAGGAAUCCAAUACAAGAGAGAGGUGUGGGGAACUCCUGCCUGAUGACAAAGGCAGUUAGGGGACAGCAGGCUCAGAGUAAGCCAGCAAGCACCAGGCUGAACUGGAGAAGACAGAGGGCACCCACAAAUAAAGAUGGGCAAUUCUGAGAAAAUGUUUAUACUGCUGAAAGAAUGUUGGGAUGUAAAUGGAUAUUAGGUCCCUGGAAAACUAAGAGAGUGAGAGGAAGAGAGGGAGAGGAUUGAUUCUGUCAUCAACACCAAGGAAAAUAAAAAGGCGGCACAGGAAAGGAGAUGUAAACCUACAUUUCCAAAAGGAAAGUUAAAUUUAAAACAACAUGGCUCAGCACUAAAUCCCACUGGAAAAUUCUCAUCAUAUUUCAAGAGAGCCCUUGGACUUUUGUUAGGAUGGACUUAACUCUCAUCUUUGAAAAAAGACAGUGUUCCCAUGGUGAUGAGGAUGACAUCAUCGGGACUGGUUCCUGCCGUGAAUACAGUCCCAUUGAUCACCACGGGAAUAGAUGGAAUAAGAGAUAACAGGAUUUUCUGUACAAACACAGUCUACCACUCCCUUAAAGGACCCCAAGAAGAUAUGGAAUUGAUGCAUCAUCCCAGAAGCACUCUAAAGACUACCCAGCAGGGCUUUCCAGCAGCCACAUGAAUGUCCUAUAAAGCCUCUCUUCACACCUGGGUCACACAAGGGUGGGAAAGACUCAGUGCUGUCCUGAAGACUGUCCAGUUCCUGAAAUCCAUAUGUUCACUGGAUCUUUACGUGUACAACAUUCCUCUUUAGCCCUCACUGGCGAGCAUCCUCUCAUGCCAGUGUCUCCACUCUUAACUACUCUCCCCUCCUCCCUCCUGGAAUCUUGGAGGAUUUCUGAGAGUCUACCAUCAUUGCAACACAUUUCUCCUCCAUUAUAACAUCAGCCAUGCCACACUUUCCAUCCUAACUGCUAGCAAUAGACACUUGCAUGUAAUAAAAAAUAUUAAUUGAAUUAAUUAAGAGAAAAACAGACAUAUCAAGGGGUUGCUGUGAGGGACACUAUAUUGUCUCUUUUCAUAUAUAUGUAUAUAUGUAAUGUUGCUG